rnacentral:rRNA from 1 species
UACGUAGGGUGCGAGCGUUGUCCGGAAUUACUGGGCGUAAAGAGCUCGUAGGUGGUUUGUCGCGUUGUUCGUGAAAACUCACAGCUCAACUGUGGGCGUGCGGGCGAUACGGGCAGACUGGAGUACUGCAGGGGAGACUGGAAUUCCUGGUGUAGCGAUGGAAUGCGCAGAUAUCAGGAGGAACACCGGUGGCGAAGGCGGGUCUCUGGGCCGACAUUGACGCUGAGGAGCGAAAGCGUGGGGAGCGAACAGG